rnacentral:rRNA from 1 species
AGGACGAACGCUGGCGGCGUGCUUAACACAUGCAAGUCGGGCGGAAAGGCCCUUCGGGGUACUCGAGCGGCGAACGGGUGAGUAACACGUGGGCAACCUGCCCUUAGCUCUGGGAUAGCUCCGGGAAACCGGAAUUAAUACCGGAUAUGACCUAGGCCGACAUCGGCCGUGGUGGAAAGUUUUUCGGCUAGGGAUGGACUCGCGGCCUAUCAGCUAGUUGGUGGGGUAAUGGCCUACCAAGGCGACGACGGGUAGCCGGCCUGAGAGGGCGACCGGCCACACUGGGACUGAGACACGGCCCAGACUCCUACGGGAGGCAGCAGUGGGAAUCUUGCGCAAUGGGCGAAAGCCUGACGCAGCGACGCCGCGUGGGGGAUGAAGGCCUUCGGGUUGUAAACCCCUUUCAGCAGGGACGAAGCGAAAGUGACGGUACCUGCAGAAGAAGCGCCGGCUAACUACGCGCCAGCAGCCGC